rnacentral:misc_RNA from 1 species
AAUUAAUGGAAGAUAAUUGGUGGGAAUUGUCCAAAAGUUGAGCCUUGAGGGUUUGAAGGGCUAAGGAAGGUGAUAAAGGAUCAGUAGGUUUGAGGGUUUUGGAUCUUAGAGGGUUGCCAGCAAAGGCAUGGGAUUGAAGGUUAAUGGACAUGGUGGUGGUUGUGGCAGUGAAAAAUGGAAGAGUUCUUGUUAAGGUGGUUUUGAUGGAGAGUCUUCUGGAGAGAGAACAGAGGAGAGCAGUUGUAGGUGAUGAAAAGAGGAGAGAGAGCAUGACUCUCUUUGUUCUUCCAUUUGGAUGGUUAAAUUU